AUUGAACGCUGGCGGCAUGCCUAACACAUGCAAGUCGAACGAGUGGCGGACGGGUGAGUAAUGUCUGGGAAACUGCCUGAUGGCGGGGGAUAACUACUGGAAACGGUCGCUAAUACCGCAUACCAUCAGAUGUGCCCAGAUUGGAUUAGCUAGUUGGUGGGGUAACGGCUCACCAAGGCGACGAUCCCUAGCUGGGCUGAGAGGAGGACCAGCCACACUGGAACUGAGAAACGGUCCAGACUCCUACGUGAGGCAGCAGUGGGGAAGAUUGGACAAUGGGCGAAAGCCUGAUGCAGCCAUGCCGCGUGUAUGAAGAAGGCCUUCGGGUUGUAAAGUACUUUCAGCGGGGAGGCGUUACCCGCAGAAGAAGCACCGGCUAACUCCGUGCCAGCCGCCGCGGUAAUAC
rnacentral:rRNA from 1 species